rnacentral:tRNA from 1 species
GGGGAUAUAGCUCAGUGGCACAGCACCUGUCUGAUAAGCACAAGGUCCUGGGUUCAAUUCUUGGUACCA